rnacentral:piRNA from 1 species
CCUGAGAAUCUGGGACACCCUCCUUCA